UGCACGAUCCUCAUUUCUUCGGAUGGAGGGCACACUGAGCAUCGACAUGAAUGAUGGUUUCUGAAGGAGUUGAAUCGUCAUCUCCUUGCUGUACAAGAUCCACGCCCAUCAUUGACUUGAAUCCUCUGGGAUUCUAUUCGCAUGUGAAUGUCUGUUCUAUCACUUACAAGUGAGAAUAAUAUCAACCUUGAAGAAUAAUAUGAUGAAUGUCUGUUCUUUACAUUGAUUUAAGCGGUUCAAUACCAAACCAAGAUUGUUUUUGACAUUAAUCAUAAGAAAAUAUAUUGAUGUAAUAUUAUUCAAUUUUUUUUUUAUAAUAUAUAAAAAUG
rnacentral:lncRNA from 1 species